rnacentral:rRNA from 1 species
UACGGAGGAUGCAAGCGUUAUCCGGAUUCAUUGGGUUUAAAGGGUGUGUAGGCGGGGUAAUAAGUCAGUGGUGAAAUCCUGCAGCUUAACUGUAGAACUGCCAUUGAUACUGUUAUUCUUGAGUAUAGUUGAGGUGGGCGGAAUGUGUAAUGUAGCGGUGAAAUGCUUAGAUAUUACACAGAACACCGAUUGCGUAGGCAGCUCACUAAACUAUUACUGACGCUGAGGCACGAAAGCGUGGGGAU